rnacentral:rRNA from 1 species
AUUGAACGCUGGCGGCAUGCCUUACACAUGCAAGUCGAACGGUAACAGGUCUUCGGACGCUGACGAGUGGCGAACGGGUGAGUAAUACAUCGGAACGUGCCCGAUCGGGGGGGAUAACGAAGCGAAAGCUUUGCUAAUACCGCAUACGAUCUAUGGAUGAAAGCAGGGGACCGCAAGGCCUUGCGCGAACGGAGCGGCCGAUGGCAGAUUAGGUAGUUGGUGGGAUAAAAGCUUACCAAGCCGACGAUCUGUAGCUGGUCUGAGAGGACGACCAGCCACACUGGGACUGAGACACGGCCCAGACUCCUACGGGAGGCAGCAGUGGGGAAUUUUGGACAAUGGGCGAAAGCCUGAUCCAGCCAUGCCGCGUGCAGGAUGAAGGCCUUCGGGUUGUAAACUGCUUUUGUACGGAACGAAAAGACUCUUUCUAAUAAAGAGGGUCCAUGACGGUACCGUAAGAAUAAGCACCGGCUAACUACGUGCCAGCAGCCGCGGUAA